rnacentral:sRNA from 1 species
UUGGAGGGCAAGUCUGGUGCCAGCAGCCGCGGUAAUUCCAGCUCCAAUAGCGUAUAUUAAAGUUGUUGCAGUUAAAAAGCUCGUAGUUGAAUUUCGGGAUCAGUAUGCUGGUCGUGCCUUCGGUACUAUGCACUGGUGUCACUGAUUCCUCCCUUCUGAAGAACCGUAAUGCCAUUCAGUUGGUGUGGCGGGGAAUCAGGAUUGUUACUUUGAAAAAAUUAGAGUGUUUAAAGCAGGCUCGCGCUUGAAUACAUUAGCAUGGAAUAAUGAAAUAGGACGUUUGAUCCUAUUUUGUUGGUUUCUAGGAUCGACGUAAUGAUUAAUAGGGAUAGUUGGG